UCCCUGGUGGUUCAAUGGUUAAGACUCUGUGCUUCCACUUCAGGGGGCACAGGUUCAAUUCCUGGUCCGAGAA
rnacentral:tRNA from 1 species